AUUGAACGCUGGCGGCAGGCUUAACACAUGCAAGUCUAGCGGAGAGAAGUAGCUUGCUACUGAUCUUAGCGGCGGACGGGUGAGUAAUGCUUAGGAAUCUGCCUAUUAGUGGGGGACAACAUUUCGAAAGGAAUGCUAAUACCGCAUACGUCCUACGGGAGAAAGCAGGGGAUCUUCGGACCUUGCGCUAAUAGAUGAGCCUAAGUCGGAUUAGCUAGUUGGUGGGGUAAAGGCCUACUAGGGCGACGAUCUGUAGCGGGUCGGAGAGGAUGAUCCGCGACACUGGGACUGAGACACGGCCCCGACUCCUACGGGAGGCAGCAGUGGGGAAUAUUGGACAAUGGGCGGAAGCCUGAUCCAGCCAUGCCGAGUGUGUGAAGAAGGCCUUAUGGUUGUAAAGCACUUUAAGCGAGGAGGAGGCUACGUUAGUUAAUACCUAGAGAUAGUGGACGUUACUCGCAGAAUAAGCACCGGCUAACUCUGUGCCAGCAGCCGCGGUAAUAC
rnacentral:rRNA from 1 species